GAGCAACGCCGCGUGAGUGAAGAAGGUCUUCGGAUUGUAAAGCUCUGUCGUUUGGGACGAACGUGGAUUGUGUGAAUAAUGCAGUCUAAUGACGGUACCACAGGAGGAAGCCACGGCUAACUACGUGCCAGCAGCCGCGGUAAUACGUAGGUGGCGAGCGUUGUCCGGAUUUACUGGGCGUAAAGGGUGCGUAGGCGGAUAUUUAAGUCAGAUGUGAAAACCCCGGGCUUAACUUGGGGACUGCAUUUGAAACUGGAUAUCUAGAGUGCAGGAGAGGAAAGCGGAAUUCCUAGUGUAGCGGUGAAAUGCGUAGAGAUUAGGAAGAACACCAGUGGCGAAGGCGGCUUUCUGGACUGUAACUGACGCUGAGGCACGAAAGCGUGGGUAGCAAACC
rnacentral:rRNA from 2 species